rnacentral:tRNA from 1 species
UGUUCUGUGGCGGAGUUGGUAAACGCGCCCUGCGAACUUGGGGAGACGUGGGUUCAAAUCCCACCAGAACUA